GCUCAGGUGGUGGAAUUGGUAGACACACACGUUUGAGGGGCGUGUGCCGAAAGGCGUAAGGGUUCGAGUCCCUUCCUGAGCACCA
rnacentral:tRNA from 6 species